rnacentral:rRNA from 1 species
CCUACGGGAGGCAGCAGUGGGGAAUCUUGCGCAAUGGGCGAAAGCCUGACGCAGCCAUGCCGCGUGAAUGAUGAAGGUCUUAGGAUUGUAAAAUUCUUUCACCGGGGACGAUAAUGACGGUACCCGGAGAAGAAGCCCCGGCUAACUUCGUGCCAGCAGCCGCGGUAAUACGAAGGGGGCUAGCGUUGCUCGGAAUUACUGGGCGUAAAGGGAGCGUAGGCGGAUAGUUUAGUCAGAGGUGAAAGCCCAGGGCUCAACCUUGGAAUUGCCUUUGAUACUGGCUAUCUUGAGUACGGAAGAGGUAUGUGGAACUCCGAGUGUAGAGGUGAAAUUCGUAGAUAUUCGGAAGAACACCAGUGGCGAAGGCGACAUACUGGUCCGUUACUGACGCUGAGGCUCGAAAGCGUGGGGAGCAAACAGGAUUAGAUACCCUGGUAGUCCACGCUGUAAACGAUGAGUGCUAGUUGUCGGCAUGCAUGCAUGUCGGUGACGCAGCUAACGCAUUAAGACACUCCGCCGUCGGGGAGGUACGGUCGGCGAAGAAUUAAACUAACGAAAGGAAGUUAGACGGCGUGAGACGUGCCGACGGACGACGACGAGGGAGGUAGG